AACGGCGGUGGUGAAAGAUGCGAGCGAAGCCCUUUGGUCCGUUGUGGCAACGCUGCCGAAUAUCCAGAAGUUAAAGCCUGAGC